rnacentral:rRNA from 1 species
GUCGGGAAUUUUGGGCAAUGGGCGCAAGCCUGACCCAGCAACGCCGCGUGAAGGAUGAAAUCCCUCGGGAUGUAAACUUCGCAAGAACGGGAAGAAUAAGUGGGGGUUAAUAUCUCUCACGAUGACGGUACUGUUUGUAAGCUCCGGCUAACUCCGUGCCAGCAGCCGCGGUAAUACGGGGGGAGCAAGCGUUGUUCGGAUUUACUGGGCGUAAAGGGCGCGUAGGCGGCCACCGCAAGUCGAUUGUGAAAUCUCCGGGCUUAACCCGGAAAGGUCAACCGAUACUGCGGGGCUAGAGUGCAGAAGGGGCAACUGGAAUUCUCGGUGUAGCGGUGAAAUGCGUAGAUAUCGAGAGGAACACCUGCGGCGAAGGCGGGUUGCUGGGCUGACACUGACGCUGAGGCGCGAAAGCUAGGGGAGCGAACGGGAUUAGAAACCCCGGUAGUCC